CACAACACGCCUACUGUCUGCCUCAGUUGACGCCAACAACAGCAGGACAUUAAAAGAGAAAGUAAAAUCUCUCCCACAUCCAUCUCACCAUGUCAGCCACGCGGUGCGUUCAGCACAGCCAUCGCUCCUCAGAGGGAGCGUUUCCCUGUUGGGACAAGAAAUUAAAUCUGCUACUGCAAAGAGGAGGACGAGGCAGGAGGGAGGAGGAGACUGAGAGGAUGCUGGCUCGGCAAACCAGCAGCUCUGAUAAUGGAGCUCUCUCCCACUUGCACAGCCCGCUAGGCCAUUCGAGCUCUGCCCAUGUGAUCCCAGAGCUAUCAGUGUCGCACUGUGUUUGGAUGUGAGAGAGUGAAGUGAUAGAGAACAUGGUGGCUAGGAAAUGCAUGUGAUGGAAAGGAAGCAAAUGAAAUGGUGUUUUUGCACCGUUACAGCUACAGUGGAACUGCAGGCCAACGACAGCAUCUAAAGAUUGCAACCCUUAUUUUGCCAUGAUACAAAAAACGUAUUAGUUUAUUUUUUUCUUGGCAGGGACGCCACUGAGAUUGUAUUUUGUAGGUCUGCACCGAAACAUACAUAUCCGUACACUGUAUAUAGUCACACACAUAGAGUAUGUAUAAUAGGCCAAGUGGGAAGCUCAACAAUAUGCAGUAUUCAGCACCCUUUUAUGUAUGGUGCUAGUACUGGGCGAUAUGACAGCAAACACUUAAAAACGUACAAUUAUGUAUCUUCAUAAAUUCCUAUCGUAAAAAUACACAACUGUGCUGCUAUUUCUUUUGAUCACUGUUAGGGCUUCGGCCCCUCCCUCCUGAGCCCUGGCCCACCUUGGGCAGGUGUGAGUGUUUUUAUUGAUUGCAGGUUGGACGCCAGACGGGUGGAGCGGCCACAGCUGCUGGCAAUGACAAUCAGCCAUCUUCAUAAGCCAGUGGACGCCACCACCUCGUCGCCCGAUCAAGUAGUCUGUUCACCACGUCCUGACUUUGCGCGCUCCUGUCAGAUUCCACACCUGCCUUCCUGCCGAGCUUCCACGCCCCACGUCGGCUCAGCUACCCCGAGCAGAACGAUCUACGCCCGCCACGUUAUUGUUUGUGCUCGCCAAUAAAAUAUUUCUCGCCACAACCCCUGUUUGUCUGCAUUUGGAUCCCCUCUCGUCGCACACCCUAACAAUCACUCGAUGUCCUGAUAUCAGCAAACCA